rnacentral:rRNA from 1 species
CACCCGAAGUCGGUGAGGUAACCCUUUUGGGAGCCAGCCGCCUAAGGUGGGACAGAUAAUUGGGGUGAAGUCGUAACAAGGUAGCCGUAUCGGAAGGUGCGGCUGGAUCACCUCCUUUCUAAGGAA